rnacentral:rRNA from 1 species
GACAGAGGGUGCAAACGUUGUUCGGAAUUACUGGGCGUAAAGCGAGUGUAGGCGGUCCGAUAAGUCGGGUGUGAAAGCCCUGGGCUCAACCCAGGAAGUGCACUCGAUACUGUCGGGCUAGAGUAUCGGAGAGGUUGGUGGAAUUCUCGGUGUAGAGGUGAAAUUCGUAGAUAUCGGGAGGAACACCAGUGGCGAAGGCGGCUACCUGGACCGGUUCCGACACUGAGGAGCGAAAGCGUGGGGAGCGAACAGG